GGAGAGGGUGCAGUUGGAGUAGGAGCUGGGGAAUGGCUGAGCACACCAGAAAAAGAAAGAAAGAAAAAGAAUGUAUUUUAUAACAGAUGUUACUGGUAAUGAAGCUGCCUCAUUAAGGACUUAUUAAGAACUCCUGUGUCAGGCCAGGUGUGUCAGGUCUCUCUCUGGGUGUGGCAAAUAGCGGUGCACCUUGCCCCAGCUGCAAAUCAGUCCCCUUUGUGCUGCUGAAUCCAUUGGAUCUAGAGAUUUCCAGCUUAGGCUUGGCUAAUAAUUGUUCUUGCUUCUUUUGUACAUCAGCACACCGGCAGAGGGGAAAAUAGUCUGAGGGCAGAAUCCUCAUCUACUUCUCCAAGAAAAUAAAUCAAAACUAUGGGGAAAAAAUCCGUAAACACCCUUGUACGUGGAAACUUGUUUUCCGGCCUCCUACCUGGAUCGCUCCCAAAUAGGGCAGAGUGUGUCUGGAGACGGGAAAGGUAAUUAACAUUUCUGAAACCCUGGGUACUCCCAUGAAAAACACUGUGCCUUGCUAAGGUUCCUGCAGGGCUCUGUCCUUUUCUGUCCCUCACCACCCUUAAUUGUUAUCCCAAGGCAGCAUUUCCUCUUCUCUGCAAGUAGUAGAGUUAAUGCUUUGGGGAGAUUUCAGUAUUCCUGACCAGACAUUUAAAAGCAGGGUUUGUUAGAAGCUUUCCAGCUCAUUAAACAGAUUGAAUUAACUUAUUUAGUCCUCAGGCCUGGAGAUGGCAAAAUUCAAUUCUGCAGAGGUGGCAGCCUGGUCAAUCUUCAGCCUCCCCUUCUCUGUGCUUCACUUCUCGUUCCUCAUGCCCAGCCCUUUUGGAGGGAUGCCUGACAGCUGCAUGGUCUUUUUUCCCCUGAGCUUCUCACACAGCCUCUGCUUUUAUGGUGAUUUUUCCUGUCCUAUUUGAGACCUUAUGCAAAUGUCUUUGCUGACUGCUAAAACCGAUACAGCGGAUCAGCCCUGUUCAGAACAAAAUUCUCCUUGCAGAAAACAAUUUGAGACACAAUGUGUGCUGGGAAAAUAUUUCUCAGGAGGUGAAGAUGAAAAUUCAGCUUCCAUGUAAAUCUGUCUGAUCCCAUGUGUUAAUUAAAUGCUUCUAUUGAG